rnacentral:rRNA from 1 species
GACGAACGCUGGCGGCGUGCCUAAUACAUGCAAGUAGAACGCUGAAGCUUGGUGCUUGCACCGAGCGGAUGAGUUGCGAACGGGUGAGUAACGCGUAGGUAACCUGCCUGGUAGCGGGGGAUAACUAUUGGAAACGAUAGCUAAUACCGCAUAACAGUAGAUAUCGCAUGAUAGCUACUUGAAAGGUGCAAAUGCACCACUACCAGAUGGACCUGCGUUGUAUUAGCUAGUUGGUGAGGUAACGGCUCACCAAGGCAACGAUACAUAGCCGACCUGAGAGGGUGAUCGGCCACACUGGGACUGAGACACGGCCCAGACUCCUACGGGAGGCAGCAGUAGGGAAUCUUCGGCAAUGGACGGAAGUCUGACCGAGCAACGCCGCGUGAGUGAAGAAGGGUUUCGGAUCGUAAAGCUCGGUUGUAAGAGAAGAACGAGUGUGAGAGUGGAAAGUUCACACUGUGACGGUAGCUUACCAGAAAGGGACGGCUAACUACGUG